ACCAUCAUGUAUGAUUACAAAUCAUUUAACUAUUUAAAUCUAAGUCAUUAACUGUUUAAACUAUAGUUAUCAGCAAACUAAUUACUAUGAAACAAAAGCAACAUCAAUGAGUAGAAGAACAUGACAUAAGAAGAAACAACUCUGUCUACAUCUCUAAGAGAGAAAAAUAAAUGCAAGUCAGACCAAGCUACAUGAAGUAUUAGAAAAUGAAAUACCUCUUUUGGAUUGUUGGAAGAAAUUCUUUUGCUGGAUGAAAAAGAACUUGAUCACAGUACAAAAGCCACACAUUGUGAGACAUCAUUGACAAAAAACUCAAAAAAAAAAAAGAGUUGAAAAAGGCACAAGAUAACAAUGCAGCACAAGAACAUCUAUAUCUUGGAUUAGAAAUAAAUUCACAAAUUAGAUGAUCCCUUAGAAGGUGUGAUGCCAGAAAUUGGCAAAAAAAAUUCAAGAGCAAUAUAUGUAAGCAAAUACAAUUAGUCCUCAAGCCUAAAUUCAACAGCUAUAUAUGUAAAAAAAAGUAGGAAACAAUCAGAGAAGCCCUAUUUUUUACUUCCCUAAGAGUCAGUGGGCAUUUUUCAAGUCAGAGCAAGUGAGAAACCAUUGUCUUUGGGGGGAACAUCAAGAUAUGAAUCUGGCAGUACCCACAAAACUCCAAGUAACUCCACUCAUAUGAGAAAAAGAUUGCGACAACAGUCAAGAUUGUUAAUGAUAGCUGCACAAAUAAAAACAUACAUAUCACCAUUUGGCAUAUCAAAAUCCAAUUCCAAAAUCAAUAAUCAGUAAAUGUAGGAGGAGCGCACUAUAUCAUACCUUUUCAAUCUCUCUCGCAAGGAAUUAACAAUGGAAUUCAGUAUCACAUUGGACGUAAGUUUGAUAUGUCAAAAUUACAUUUGAACCAUGACAAGAUUAAACUUCUUGAAAUAUUUUCAAGGUUAUAAUAUGAAAAGCUUCAUCUAGGAAACUAAUGCAAUGCAGUAGAAGACAAAAUCAUUACAGCAACAAAGCCAUUCUUCAGCAAAUGGGGUCAGACGACCACAUUGAUUAAAUUUAAACACCAUCAUGUAUGAUUACAAAUCAUUUAACUAUUUAAAUCUAAGUCAUUAACUGUUUAAACUAUAGUUAUCAGCAAACUAAUUACUAUGAAACAAAAGCAACAUCAAUGAGUAGAAGAACAUGACAUAAGAAGAAACAACUCUGUCUACAUCUCUAAGAGAGAAAAAUAAAUGCAAGUCAGACCAAGCUACAUGAAGUAUUAGAAAAUGAAAUACCUCUUUUGGAUUGUUGGAAGAAAUUCUUUUGCUGGAUGAAAAAGAACUUGAUCACAGUACAAAAGCCACACAUUGUGAGACAUCAUUGACAAAAAACUCAAAAAAAAAAAAGAGUUGAAAAAGGCACAAGAUAACAAUGCAGCACAAGAACAUCUAUAUCUUGGAUUAGAAAUAAAUUCACAAAUUAGAUGAUCCCUUAGAAGGUGUGAUGCCAGAAAUUGGCAAAAAAAAUUCAAGAGCAAUAUAUGUAAGCAAAUACAAUUAGUCCUCAAGCCUAAAUUCAACAGCUAUAUAUGUAAAAAAAAGUAGGAAACAAUCAGAGAAGCCCUAUUUUUUACUUCCCUAAGAGUCAGUGGGCAUUUUUCAAGUCAGAGCAAGUGAGAAACCAUUGUCUUUGGGGGGAACAUCAAGAUAUGAAUCUGGCAGUACCCACAAAACUCCAAGUAACUCCACUCAUAUGAGAAAAAGAUUGCGACAACAGUCGUUCCUACACCAGAUAAAAAAAUUGUAUGUUUCAACCACAUAGAGAGAACAUGUACAUAAUGAAUUUGAACCUGGC
rnacentral:lncRNA from 1 species